UUUGCCUUCACCUCUGAAGAGACACAAUAUCCAUUUACCUGGCAAUUCAUGGGGUACCUCAACGGCCUUCCCAUCACACAGUCUUCUCAGGCAAGAUCUUAACUGCAUCCAGCUUCUUUCAGGAGCACAGCUUCACCCUCUUCCCCUCUGCCCCACAUCUGGACGAGUUGAUAAGAAGCCCUGGUGCUCCCUCCUUGGUGCCCGGAAAAGAUUCAAACCAUGCAAGCCCCUUCCUGUGCCUCACCUCAGGCCCCAAUCACAAUGAAAAUCCAAGCUGAUCUCCUUUCCUUGUUCUUUCAAGCCAUAUCUAACCUGCUUGGGAAGCCUCCCCUCCUCUACCAAGAAAAUCUUCAUUUAUAGUCUUACUCAGUCACCCCAGGUAGAGUGUAGUGG